GACGAACGCUGGCGGCGUGCUUAACACAUGCAAGUCGAACGGAAAGGCCCUGCUUUUGUGGGGUGCUCGAGUGGCGAACGGGUGAGUAACACGUGAGUAACCUGCCCUUGACUUUGGGAUAACUUCAGGAAACUGGGGCUAAUACCGGCUAGGAGCUCCUGCUGCAUGGUGGGGGUUGGAAAGUUUCGGCGGUUGGGGAUGGACUCGCGGCUUAUCAGCUUGUUGGUGGGGUAGUGGCUUACCAAGGCUUUGACGGGUAGCCGGCCUGAGAGGGUGACCGGCCACAUUGGGACUGAGAUACGGACCAGACUCCUACGGGAGGCAGCAGUGGGGAAUAUUGCACAAUGGGCGGAAGCCUGAUGCAGCAACGCCGCGUGCGGGAUGACGGCCUUCGGGUUGUAAACCGCUUUCGCCUGUGACGAAGCGUGAGUGACGGUAAUGGGUAAAGAAGCACCGGCUAACUACGUG
rnacentral:rRNA from 1 species